CCUACGGGAGGCAGCAGUGAGGAAUUUUCCGCAAUGGGCGAAAGCCUGACGGAGCAAUACCGCGUGAGGGAUGAAGGAUUUUGGUCUGUAAACCUCUUUUCUCAAGAAAGAAGUUCUGACGGUACUUGAGGAAUAAGCAUCGGCUAACUCCGUGCCAGCAGCCGCGGUAAUACGGGGGAUGCAAGCGUUAUCCGGAAUGAUUGGGCGUAAAGCGCCUGUAGGUUGUUUAUUAAGUCCGUUGUUAAAGCCUAGGGCUUAACCCUAGAAAAGCAAUGGAAACUAGUAGACUAGAGUAUGGCAGGGGUAGAGGGAAUUUCUAGUGUAGCGGUGAAAUGCGUAGAUAUUAGAAAGAACACCGGUGGCGAAAGCGCUCUACUGGACCAUUACUGACACUCAGAGGCGAAAGCUAGGGUAGCAAAAGGGAUUAGAUACCCCUGUAGUCCUAGCCGUAAACGAUGGAUACUAGAUGUUGUGCAUUAUGUACAGUAUCGUAGCUAACGCGUUAAGUAUCCCGCCUGGGGAGUACGCUCGCAAGGGUGAAACUUAAGAGUAGUGCGNGNGAGAGUCGACGAGACGACGACGAGGAGAG
rnacentral:rRNA from 1 species